rnacentral:rRNA from 1 species
CGUUCCCGGGUCUUGUACACACCGCCCGCCACACCACGAAAGUCGGCAACACCCGAAGCCGGUGGCCUAACCCGCAAGGGAGGGAGCCGUCGAAGGUGGGGCUGGCGAUUGGGGUG